rnacentral:rRNA from 1 species
GUAAGCAUAUGCUUGUCUCAAAGAUUAAGCCAUGCAUGUCUAAGUCCAAGCUGUGUUCACACGGCGAGACCGCGGACGGCUCAUUAAAUCAGUCGUGGUCCAAAUGGGCCAGUGCAAAUCCUACUUGGAUAACUUGGUAAUUCCAGAGCUAAUACAUGCAACUGAUAUCCCGAAGGCGAUGGUUGUGCUUGCUUGUCUUGCGCUCUCACUGCUCUGACGGAUGCUUUUAUUAGACCAAACUGCUGAGGACUUGAGGGUUCGCCUUCUUGUCUGACUCGGUAAUGGUGACUCUGGAUAACCAAUCUGACAAGCGCACGUACUUCUCUUCUGAGCGAGACGGCGCUGCCACUUUCGAGUGUCUGCCUUAUCAGCUAUCAACCGUUCGUUAUGCGCGACCGAUGGCUUUGACGGGUAACGGGGAAUCAGGGUCGAUUCCGGAGAGGCAGCCUGAGAGACGGCUACCACGUCCAAGGACGGCAGCAGGCACGCAAAUUACCCAAUCCCAGCAAAUGGGGGAGGUAGUGACGAAAUCUAACGAUGCGGGCGCCCUUUCUGGGGCCCCGCAAUCGGAAUGGGCACUUUCUAAACAACCUGUUGAGAACCUACUGAAGGGCAAGUCUUGCCAGCAAGCCGCGGUAAUUCCAGCUUCAGCAGCAUCUAUUAAAGUUGCUGCRGUUAAAARGCUCGYAGUUGAAUGCUGUAUCGAGC